UGGGGAAUAUUGCACAAUGGGCGCAAGCCUGAUGCAGCCAUGCCGCGUGUAUGAAGAAGGCCUUCGGGUUGUAAAGUACUUUCAGUCGGGAGGAAGGUGUCAAGGUUAAUAACCUUGGCAAUUGACGUUACCGACAGAAGAAGCACCGGCUAACUCCGUGCCAGCAGCCGCGGUAAUACGGAGGGUGCAAGCGUUAAUCGGAAUUACUGGGCGUAAAGCGCACGCAGGCGGUCUGUCAAGUCGGAUGUGAAAUCCCCGGGCUCAACCUGGGAACUGCAUUCGAAACUGGCAGGCUAGAGUCUUGUAGAGGGGGGUAGAAUUCCAGGUGUAGCGGGGAAAUGCGUAGAGAUCUGGAGGAAGACCGGUGGCGAAGGCGGCCCCCUGGACAAAGACUGACGCUCAGGUGCGAAAGCGUGGGGAGCAAACAGG
rnacentral:rRNA from 1 species